ensembl:lncRNA novel transcript
CUUUCUUGCCUGCCACCAUGUAAGACUUCCUUUUGUUCUUCCUUCAUCUUCUGCCCUGAUUGUGAGGCCUCCCCAGCCAUUUGGAACUGUCAACAGUUCUCAGUUUUUGGUCCCUGAGGAGCAGCAUCAUCAUCACCUAGGAACUUGUUAGAAAGAUGCUCCUUGAAAUUUGAGAACUACAACUCCACCUCUUGGACUUGAGGAUGAGGAAGGCUUGGUCAGCUUGUUUAUUCCCUAAGGAUACUACAAGGAUACUCUAGUCAUCUUCAUAUAAAAUGAUCAAGGUGAAGAAAUAUAAAAUGAUCAAGGUGAAGAAAAUAACCAAGUUUCAGGUGACUCCACUGAAAAACAAGCCCCUGUGACUCACUUUAUCAUUGAGACCUGGCUAAGAAAUGGGUGUAAGGAAAAAGAGCUGGGCAUGGUGGCUACGCCUGUAAUUCCAGCAUUUUGGGAGGCUGAAGGAGGUGGAUCGCUUGAGAUCAGGAGUUCGAGACCAGCCUGGCCAACAUGGUGAAACCCCGUCUCUACUAAAAAUACAAAAAUUAGCCAGGUGUGAUGGUGCGCACCUGUAGUCCCAGCUACUGGGGAGGCUGAGGCAUGAGAAUUGCUUGAACCCAGGAGGCCGAAGUUGCGGCCCACUAUGACACCGUGACAGGCUAAAGAGCCUUUUGAAUGGAAACUACAUAAAGCAUCAAGCCCCUGAAAAGAAUGACCAGACAAAAGUGCCACAAUCAAUUGAAUGUCUUUAGGAGAUACACUUUUCUUUUAAAAAGCGUGACGCUUUGAUGACUCAGUGGCAGGACAGGUGACAAAGGAAUGGCUGCCUGGAGGCUGUGCAUGGCAGGAGGAGACACCACAGUCUUCCCGCCCUGCCACCCGUCCCUGCCGCCUGACUGUGGAAGGAUGAAGGACACUUUUAGAAAUUUCCCUGCGCGGAGAUGCCAGGAAACCAAUCAUCGCCCAGCCACUUUGUGGGGCCAUUAGCAGAGCGUCAAACUCCAUCUUUGUUUAAACGAAAGCACAAAGAAAAUAAUUUUUCAUCUGAGGAAUCACCUUAAGAUCCCCAAAUGGAAAGUAAGGGGAGCAGUAAACCUCUCACUCCGGGUGGGCAGCUCUAACACAGGGCAUUAAGGUAAGAAGGUUAUUUAUGACAGAAGAAAGGAGACAGGAUUCCAAAGUGGGAGACGAAGGACAGAGGUGAUUGGAGCCUAGCUUUAUCCCCUGCCCCAUUCAAAUGCGGAGGGCAAUGACUUCCAUAAGAAACCAGGUGCCACACGUGACCCAAAGGCAAAAGCCUCACUUUAACUCCUUGAUAUGGUCUGGCUGUGUUCCCACCCAAAAUCUCAUCUGGAAUUGUAGUCCCCAUAAUCCCUGUGUGUGUCAAGGGCAGAACCAGGUGGAGGUAAUCGGAUCAUGGGGGCGUUUCCCCCAUGCUGUUCUCGUGAUAGUGAGUGAGUCUCACGAGAUCUGAUGGUUUAAUAAGCGUCUGGCAUUUCCCCUGCUGGCACUCAUUCUUUCUCCUGCUGUCCUGCGAAGAGGUGCCUUCUGCCAUGAUUGUUAGUUCCUGAGGCCUCCCCAGCCAUGCGAACUCUGUAGGCUAACCCAAGAAGAAUAAAGCAUCGGCUUCCCUGACAUGCUGCUCCCCCCAAAACAGAGUGCCAAUAUGAUUCCAAGGUUCUUAGCACACUGUAUAUUACCUCACUCCUCCUACAG